rnacentral:rRNA from 1 species
UACGUAGGGUGCGAGCGUUAAUCGGAAUUACUGGGCGUAAAGCGUGCGCAGGCGGUUGUGCAAGACCGAUGUGAAAUCCCCGGGCUUAACCUGGGAAUGGCAUUGGUGACUGCACGGCUAGAGUGUGUCAGAGGGGGGUAGAAUUCCACGUGUAGCAGUGAAAUGCGUAGAGAUGUGGAGGAAUACCGAUGGCGAAGGCAGCCCCCUGGGAUAACACUGACGCUCAUGCACGAAAGCGUGGGGAGCAAACGGG